GACGUAGGGGACGAGCGUUGUCCGGAUUCAUUGGGCGUAAAGCGCGUUCAGGCGGCUUAGCAAGUCGGGCAUGAAAUCUCUCGGCUCAACCGGGAGGGGCUGUCCGAUACUGCUGGGCUUGAGGGCAGUAGAGGGUGGUGGAAUUCCGGGUGUAGUGGUGAAAUGCGUAGAGAUCCGGAGGAACACCAGUGGCGAAAGCGGCCACCUGGACUGUACCUGACGCUCAAACGCGAAAGCUAGGGGAGCGAACGGG
rnacentral:rRNA from 1 species